rnacentral:sRNA from 1 species
GGGUGGGCGCGCACAGGGAGAGCGCGCGGCGGGGCGGCCCGGAACAGUCUGCGCAGACGGGCGGCGGCGUGAGGGCUCCGGGUCGCUGGCGGCGUGGACACCUGAGUCCCGGGGUAGGGGUCUCCCGCGAGGAGUGAGCUGUUGCCGCAGAAUGGGCUGCUGGCUCCUGCCCUGCUUCCUGUGAUCGAGCCGGCCCUGAGGACUCUGUGGAGAUGCCUGUAACCCACCGGAAAUCAGACGCAUCUGACAUGAACUCGGACACGUCCCCCAGCUGCAGGCUCCGAGCCUUCAGCAGAGGCGGCAGCCUGGAGAGUCGAAGCAGCAGCUGUCGCUCCAGAAGCUUCACUUUGGGCGCUAGAGCAACCAGCCCUGCCGAAAGCAAGUGUCAGUCAGUACAACCACUUCGGAAAGCUGUGUCCACCCACCCAAGCAGACACACAUCUUCAGACCCGGCGAUUGUGCAUAGGUUUAUAUCCAACAGGAUGAUGAGAGCCUGAAGUACCUCACCCAUGAGGAAAAGGACGUCCUCCUGUUUUUUGAAGAGACGAUUGACUCCCUAGACGAGGACUUUGAGGAGCCAGUGCUGUGCGAUGGAGGAGUGCGCUGCCUCUGCUCCCCAUCUCUGGAGGAGAGCACCUCCAGUCCCUCCGAGCCUGAAGAUGUCAUCGACUUAGUGCAGCCAGCACCUGGCGCCGGGGAAGCCGAGGGCCUUCCAGAGGGGACCCAG